UACAGAGGUGGCAAGCGUUGUUCGGAAUUACUGGGCGUAAAGGGCGCGUAGGCGGCCUUCUAAGUCAGACGUGAAAUCCCCCGGCUUAACCUGGGAACUGCGUCUGAUACUGGAGGGCUUGAGUAUGGGAGAGGGAUGUAGAAUUCCAGGUGUAGCGGUGAAAUGCGUAGAUAUCUGGAGGAACACCGGUGGCGAAGGCGGCAUCCUGGACCGGUAUUGACGCUGAGGCGCGAAAGCUAGGGGAGCAAACGGG
rnacentral:rRNA from 1 species